AGUAGUCAUAUGCUUGUCUCAAAGAUUAAGCCAUGCAUGUCUAAGUACAAACUUUCACAUAGUGAAACUGCGAAUGGCUCAUUAGAUCAGUUAUGGUUCAUUAGAUCGUACAAUCCUUACUUGGAUAACUGUGGCAAUUCUAGAGCUAAUACAUGCAAGCAAGCUCCGACCUCGCGGGAAGAGCGCUUUUAUUAGUUCAAAACCAAUCGGGCUGUCGCAAGGCACCCGUCCAACUGGUGACUCUGGAUAACUUUGUGCGGAUCGCACGGCCCAARAGCUGGCGACGUAUCUUUCAAGUGUCUGCCCUAUCAACUUUCGUAGGUAGUCNACAUNACCACCUAGGUUUUCACGGGUAGCGGGGGAUCNUGGGUUCNAUUCCGGANNNNNNNNNNNNGAAACGGCUACCACAUCCAAGGAAGGCAGCAGGCACGCAACUUACCCACUCCUGACACGGGGAGGUAGUGACGAAAAAUAACAAUACGGGACUCUUUCGAGGCCCCGUAAUUGGAAUGAGUACACUUUAAAUCCUUUAACGAGGAUCCAUUGGAGGGCAA
rnacentral:rRNA from 1 species